rnacentral:lncRNA from 1 species
CCCUCUCUACCUUCUGGCCAGAGGCUCAGUGGACACAGUGUUGCUUCUCGUCUCAGUAACCGGGCCUCCCAUCUGGUUGCAGGGCCCCAAAAUCAAGGUGUUAUCCCUGACCCUCCUGCAUCCCUCCUACCUCAUAUUUAACCCAUCGGGAAGUUCUAUCAAAUUUCAAAAACAUUCUAAUUCUCUCUAUCCAAUUCUAUCUUCCCCGUUGUACCCUAGUCUCAGCCACGACCUUCUCCCACCUGGGCUACUUACCACAUUAACCCCUCAGCUCGUCUCCGGGUGUCCCUCCUUUGCCCUCUGCAGACAGUCUCCACGGGGUAGCCAAAAUGUUUUAAGAAGGUUCUUUUGAAGGAAAAAUAUUUCCUACUUGGAAUUCCAUACCUACCCAAACUAUUGACCAAGCGGGAGAGUGGAACACACAUUUUCAGUUAUUAAUAAUCUCAAAAGAGUUACCUUCCACAUAUUCUUUCUGAGGAAGCUAUGCUCCACCAACGAGGGUCUGAAGCUAUUUUCAUUUCUGAUCGUUAGGACAGGUCCCUCUGUCUGUGUAUUCACACAGGCUCGUAGGGUCUCUUUAUCCUCGGUGUUCUGAAAGUUGACCAUGAUGUACCUUAGUGUAUUUCUAUUUUCAGACAUUGUUGUGGGCACUUGCUGUGCCCUUUGAACUUGGUAACUGAAGUGUAUUUCAGUUCAGUUUGGAGAAAUUUUCUUGGACUAUUUCAGUAAGGAUUUUCUGACCCCUGUUUUCUCUCUUCUUUCUAACAAGAACUGCUAUUUUUCAUGAGCUUGAUGCUCCAGGGGUAAUGUUUUCUCUCCCAUUUCCCAUCUCAUUGUCUUUUAGCUCUUCUUUCUGGAACAUUUCCUCAACUUUAUUUCCAACUAUCUAUUGAAUUUAUUAUUUCCACUUUUGUGCAUGGAAUUUCCAAGAGCUCUUUUAUGUUCUAUAAAUGUUCUUUUUUCAUAGUACUCUAUUCUUGUGCAUUUGUUUUCUAUUGCUACACAACAAAUUACUCUAAAACUUAGAGAUUUAAAGCAACAAUAAGCGUUUGUUGUCUCUCAGUUUCUUUGGGUCAGGAACUCUUGUGGGGCUCGGCAGCGUGAGCUCAGGAUCGGUGUCUCUCAUAAGCUCCACUUAAGAUGCUCCAGUGUUUACCGCCUGGUCUUAUCAGUUAUCUUGUGAUGUUGUCCUAAUUAGUGGGUUCAAACUAUGCUUUCCCAAGUUCUCAUAGUGUCAGGGGCCUCGCUCUUGAAGGCAGGCUCUGGGGAGAUGUGGGGCAGAGCGGCUCCAGCUGUGGGUCCCUCUCCCCGCUUCACUCACAGGGACCCCCAGCUCCGGGUUUCUUUGUUUUGUGUGUUAGAUUUUCCUGUAAACUCUGAUCUGAAGAAAGAGUUCUAAGGCUCAAGCAAGUGUGAAAAUCCCUGAACUGGACCAUUUUAAUUCCAAGCUAAACUUACUGAGGCUGCCAAUAAGCACAGGAAAAGAUGCUCACAUCAUCAGCCAUCAGGGAAACGUGAAUCAAAACCACAACGAGACAAAACUUUACACCCAAUGGGUGCCCUUGAUCAAGUAGACAGACAACAACAAGUGUUGGCAAGGAUGGGGAGAAACUGGACCUCUCCUACCCUGCUCGUGGGAUUGUCAAAUGGUGCAGCCACCUUGGAAAAGAGUCUGGCAGUUCCCCAAAAUGUUAAACAUAGAGUUAUCACACGACUCUGCAAUUCCACGACCAGGCAAGAGUCUGAACACAUAUGUCCACGCAAAAACUCGUACACGAGUGGUCGUAGCAGCGUCCUUCGUUAGCAGUCAGCAAUCCUUCAACUGAUCAACAGAAUGUGCUCUAUCCACACACUGGGUUAUUAUUCAACCAUGACAAUGAGUGGAGUGUUCAUUCACGCUACGACAUCAGGAACCUUGAAAGCACUAAGCUAAAUGAAAGACCACACAGUGCAUAAUUCCGUUUAUGUGACCCGUCCAGAAUAGGCAAAUCUAUAGGGACUGGAAGUAGAUUACUGGUUGCCUAGGAUGAGGGUGCAGUAGUUGGGGGAAAAAGUGGAGUGACUGCUAAUUUAUAUAGGGUGUCUUUUUGGGGUGAUGAAAAUGUUCUCAAAUUGAUUGUGGUGAUGUUUGCGCAACUAUAUGACUACACUAAAACCCAUUGAAUUCUAUACUUUAAAUAGGUGCAUUGUAUGGUACGUAGUUAUAUCUCCCUAAAGCUGUUUAAAGAAAUAAUCGUCGAGGCCGUGCUAUUACGGGGAGAAGUGUGUUAAAUCUCCACGAGAGAAAGAGAGAGAGAGAGAGAGAGAGAACGGCUUGUCUCCACACCGCCUGUGUCUGCAGAACCCAGAACAGUGCCUAGCAGCCAAUGUUUGUUGAAUGAAUGAAUGGUAAACUGUGCCAUUGUCACACAGAGAGGCACUGCCUCAUCACCCUUCAGGGCAGAUCCUGCUGCCCGGAUGUGGGGAGUGAGGUCACCGAAGCUCCCAGCUGCCAGCUCCGUCUGGGUCAGCCUCGGUUUCAGAGAGCCCGAGGUCACACCCUUCCUGGGGCAGCCUGGAUCCAGAUCCAGCGACUGAGUGAGUUGGGGUAUGAACCCCUGCCAUCGUGAGCCGUGUGGGACAACUCUGACAGGCGGCCCUCCCUCCGGAGCUCCCUCGGGCUGGUCCCGGCUCCCACAGGCCUGCACGGCAGUGCGAUGCCUGCUCUCUGCCCAGUCCUGCUUUUCACCUUCCUUCAGAAGUGUUGACCCUCGUACGUCCUCACACUCGGGCUCUGUGUCGGCGUCUGCUUCCAGAGACCCAGCGUGCCAGUCGGGAGUGGUCCAGGAAAGCAGGUGGUGAGGCGCGGCUUGGCAGCUGGAGUUCUGCCUGCCCGCCUGGCAGUGAGGACCCCAUCGCUGUGGUAGGCGGAGCACAGAGAACCCUUGGGACACGUGGCAUCAUUAAAACUCCCACUGGCGGGAAAUUGGGGUGGUGUGCCCGGGAGAGAACGCCCUGGAGGGUGCGACAAACCAGGAGUCUCACAGGUGUUGGGGACAUGGCGUCCGUCAGGAGAAGAUGCUGGAAAGGCUGCUGGUGCUGUAAGAAAAUAGGGAACAGCGGAGGGGGAGCUGGCAAUGGCAAGUCAGGGGUGACAGUCAGUGGCCUGUUGGGGUGGGCACAGAGACACUCAUGAGCUGUAGGGCGAGCCCAGGAAAUGAAGGCCAGGCCUGGGACUGAAUAGUGAGAGCAGCUGCAUUUCAAAGCCGGUGAGAUAUUCAACCACGGCUAGUCUGUUAGACCAAAGUCAGAGCCCUGGUUAGAGAACUCUGGGCCCCGACACGUGGGACGGAGGCAUCUGUGGAUGGAGACAUCGAGUGAAGGUCCUCAAAGAUUGCAACAGCCCGGGCUCCUCUGAAUCUGCAGAUGCGCCCCCUCCCCCAUAUUAAGAGCUAGCACGGCCUCCCCGGCUUGAAGGCAACGACAUAGAGGCCUCUCCCUGGCAGGACGACUUGCACCCCAUCAGGACCUGCCCCACCGCCUAUUCUGGCCACUAGGCCUUCAGGUCGCCAUGAAACCCAGCUGGGGAGGUGCUGGGCCUAACGACAGAGAAAGGACUACGUUCCAAAUGAGCCACGAGAACCAGUCAGCAAAUACCGCCAGCCCCAGGGGUGUGCCUGGAUCUGAGGAUGCUUGACUAGGGGGCUGGGACGUAGAGUGGACAGGAAGAAUUCACUGCUGUUUUGAGCUCUCCUGAGAUACGGCAUUUAGCACCCUGGCAAGGACCUCAGGGGAUGGUGUGAACUUGGUAUAAGGAUGGCUCUUGCAGCCCUGAGACCAACGGCAGCCAGGAUUGCCUGUGUCCCGCCAACCUCCCCUCCUAGGUAUCCCAUCAGGAAGAAUGGUCCAGAGGAUCCCGGAGGAGUUGCUGCCUAGACAGGUACGGAGAAGUGGACCUGAGCGACAGAAGGAGCAGGCUGUGUGGACAGGGAGAUGCAAGGCUCCAAUCUCCCUUCCAGGAAGGGCUUGCUGCCCCGCCGUGGGGUGGGGGGUGUGGUCAACAGCCAGCUUCCAGCUGUGAGCUCCUUCAGGGUCAGACUCGGCUGCAGGGGCCACCCCACCCGGCUCGCCCCUUCUUGGGCAUCCACGUCCGUAAAUGACGGCGGUAGGGGUAUGAAGACCUGAGUGCCUUGGCCCCACAUGGGACGACCCGAGGGGGUGCUCACCCCCGAGCUCCCUGCCAGCUUGGCUGAGGCCUCACUGGGCCACACUGCUGUUCCCCUGUUCCCUUCACCUGGUCCUGCUUCCUGCCCUUCCGCUCACGGAAAACAGCUUGCAUCCCAAACUCUGACUCAGCAUCUGCUUCUGAAGAACCCAGCGGGGACAUGCUGACACAGUGACACACGCGGAGCCCUCCUUUCCCACGACCACGUAUGCUCUCCAUCAAAGUAUAAUUUCCACAAAGUCGAAGACAAGGAUCUCCCACAUCAAUGUCUCUUGAUCGCUGCUCCCUCCCCUCAUCACCGAGGCCCAGGCUGGACGGGGCUUUGCGCUCACAUCCCAGGGCACAGCUGGGCAAGUGGACAAAGGCAUCAGGACAGGAAACCAUCAACAAGAGCGGCACGAAAUCUCUGGCUGGCCAGACGGUGCUUCCUGCCCGGGGCUCUCACGUCCAGACAACUGUAAAAUUUAUCCUUUGAGCCCAGACACUGCGGUGGGUGACAGGGGCCUCUUACAGUCCUGACGGGACAGCAGCAUCGGCCACGGCGGUCCUGGGCACUCGCUAUCCCGCAGCCAGGCCUUUCCUGGCACAGGACCCAGAGAAACGUGUGUCUCCCGGAGAACCCAUUUCUCCUACACAUUCAGGCUGCCAACCUCUACUCUCAUCUCUGCUGGGAAUUCAAGAAGCAAGACCCUGGCCCAGGGAGCCUCAGGGAACGGGCAAGGACCACUGUCAGGAGAAUGUGGAUGCUGCCUUGAGCACCGGACAGAGGACGCCAAGAGGAAGCCAGCGCUGUGGGGGCUCGGAGAGGCGCCUCACCUGCCAGAGAGGGUGCCGCUCAGGCUCAGCCCCUCAGGGGCUCUGGAGGAGAGACUCCAUGGGAAGGAAGAGGUUUGGGGUGAAUGCAGAGACCCAGGAGGAAAAGCUGCCUGAGAGGAGUCCCAGAGGGGCGAGUGCGUCGGCCCUGGGAGUCGCCAGAAAGCUCCUGCCCUUGCUGACCUUCCUCUCUUCGCUGUCACCCCGAGUCCCCACUCCUGGAGGGGGACCCCGCGUUACCUCCACGGGCCGUCGGCCGGGGGGCACCUCCUCACUGGCUCCCAGAGAAGUUUGUUGAAUACACGGCAG